GUGAGUCACACAAAAUUUUUGACUUCCCAGUUCAUAUAAAAGUUACAUUUACACUAUACUGUAGUCUAUUACAUGUGUUUUAUAGCAUUAUAUCUAAAAACAAUGUACAGACCAUAAUUGACAAGUACGUUAUUGCUAAAAAAUACUAACCAUCAGUUGAGACUUAGUGAGUCGUAAUCUUUUUGCAGGUGGAGGGUUUGAAAUACUGAAAGAAUUACCAAAGUGUGACACAGAGAUUUUAAGUGAGCAAGUGCUGUUAGAAAAAAUGGCACUGAUAGAAUUAC